GCCCCCGCCACUCGCCUGGUUGGGGUCGGUGGCCCGGAAGACGUGGCAGGCCAUGGGGGAGUCGGGGUUGUCGGGCUGCGCCUUGAUCAGGCAACACCUUGAUAACGUCUGCUGUUUCUGCACAUGGCACCGCAGGAGCCAUUUCAUGUAUCAGAUCUGGGUCAUCGGUUCAUCUUCUGUGUUCAAAGAUUUAAACCUGCAAAAUGGUAAAUCGACAUCUGUUGUCUUGACUCUGUCGACUGCUGAGCAUCUCAUCUUCCCACGUUCCAACCGCGAGAAGCAGCAUUGCUCAGCACACCAGUGAGUCGUGCAAGACACGCACCUACGUUCCUCUGCUCAUUUUAAAUGUAAACUUUUAACACCCCUCUCAAGCUUCACGCAAUGUGGUUGCAGCAUCCAGUACUUGCCAGUUCAGAAGCAUCACUGGGAAGGAAGCCUGUCUUGCUUUAUUUUGGCCAAGCUCUUAGAUGAAUUUUUUUAAAAAAACACCCAUAAUCUGCCUAAGACACAGUAGUGAUGACAUUCUAGCCCCAUUAAUGGGGAAUGGAAUAAUUCUUUGCAGCUCCAGUAGCACCAAGAACAGCAGAACAUUAUUUUUCAGAUUCAGAGGUAAUAAUUCAGAGGAAUUAAGCAACAGGGCCACUUCCAGCAGCAGAGAAGGGUAUUCCUAAGUGUUGCCUAAAGACACUGAAAACUAGGCUGCGUAACAAAAUGCGUAAGAAGGAUUUUAGAGUGGUUAAACUGCACGAAAACCUCGGAUAGAGAAAUGUAAAUGUGUUUUAUAUGAACAAGAUACAAAUCUAGAAAGAUCUGUUUAAGAGAUGGAUAAACAGGGAAAAAAAAUGUAAAGUGAGAAAUGUAACACGCUAUUUAAAAAGCAAGUCAUAAUGCAGAAAUGUUACUAUAAUUAAAUUACUGUUUUAAGCUACUGGAAAUAUACAAUGUAUGGUAUAUAUUCUGUUAUUAAAAUGCUGAAUGUUGUUUAUGUCA